rnacentral:lncRNA from 1 species
GACCAUAUAACCCUUAUCCUAAUUGCUGUCAGAUUCCUUUCACCAAUGCAUUCUUGAAAGCAAAAGUUCCCUCUGAGGUUAAGGUGUUUGCUUGGAUUGCUGUUCUUAAUAGGUUCAACACUAGUGAGUUAUUGCAAACUCGCAAGCCUAAUCAUCCUCUUUCACCAUAUGUUUUUAUUAUGUGUUGCAGGAAGGGAGAGACAUAACCAUUUAUUUCUCUUGUGCGAAUGGCUUGGGAGUUGUGGAAGAGUUUGUUUGAUAUGUUUGGAUUGAUGUGGCUUGUCCCUCCUCUAGAAUGCUUCAUGAGUUCGAGUCUAUUUGGAGAGUGGUGAGAAGCAAAACAAAAAUUCUAUGGAAGGGUGCUUUUUCUGUUGUUUUCUGGAUGCUAUGGCUGAAGUGGAACAAUAAGGUUUUUGAAGAUCAUACCUUCUGGACUGUAGUUCUGUGGUAGUGCAUUACAUUUCUUGCUUAUGGGCUAAGGUCCAUAGGCAAUUUACUGAUGUAUCUAUUCCUGUGCUACAUAGAAACUUGGGGGGUGAAGAUACGCAGAUUUUUGUUUGGUUUGAAUGUGAAUAUGCUCUGGAGUUGUUCUCCUAAAACGCGGU